rnacentral:rRNA from 1 species
CCUACGGUGAGCAGCAGUGAGGAAUAUUGGUCAAUGGACGAGAGUCUGAGCCAGCCAAGUAGCGUGAAGGAUGACUGCCCUAUGGGUUGUACACUUCUUUUAUAUGGGAAUAAAACAGGGUAUGCAUACCCUCUUGUAUGUACCAUAUGAAUAAGGAUCGGCUAACUCCGUGCCAGCAGCCGCGGUAAUACGGAGGAUCCGAGCGUUAUCCGGAUUUAUUGGGUUUAAAGGGAGCGUAGGUGGAUUGUUAAGUCAGUUGUGAAAGUUUGCGGCUCAACCGUAAAAUUGCAGUUGAAACUGGCAGUCUGGAGUACAGUAGAGGUGGGCGGAAUUCGUGGUGUAGCGGUGAAAUGCUUAGAUAUCACGAAGAACUCCGAUUGCGAAGGCAGCUCACUGGACUGCAACUGACACUGAUGCUCGAAAGUGUGGGUAUCAAACAGGAUUAGAUACCCCAGUAGUC